rfam:Gossypium hirsutum cultivar TM-1 chromosome 6, whole genome shotgun sequence
AACGCAUGAUGAGGACACCGUCUCAACAUAUCCUUGUAUCUCUCCUCCGCAUCAUAUAGAGUCUCCAAAUCGAUCUAAACAAACCAAGAGGUGUCAUUCCUCAACUU